UACGUAGGGUGCGAGCGUUUAAUCGGAAUUACUGGGCGUAAAGCGUGCGCAGGCGGUUUUGUAAGCCAGAUGUGAAAUCCCUCGGCUUAACCGAGGAACUGCCUCCCAAACUGCUUGGCUUGAGACCGGGAGAGGUGAGUGGAAUUCCCAGUGUAGCGGUGAAAUGCGUAGAUAUUGGGAGGAACACCAAUGGCGAAGGCAGCUUGCUGGGACGGUACUGACGCUGAGACGCGAAAGCGUGGGGAGCAAACAGGAUUAAGAAACCCCGG
rnacentral:rRNA from 1 species